rnacentral:rRNA from 1 species
GUCAGAGGGUGCAAACGUUGUUCGGAUUUACUGGGCGUAAAGCGCGUGUAGGCGGCUUUGCAAGUCGGAUGUGAAAGCCCACGGCUCAACCGUGGAAGUGCAUCCGAAACUGCAUGGCUUGAGUCUCGGAGAGGAAGGUGGAAUGCUUGGUGUAGAGGUGAAAUUCGUAGAUAUCAAGCAGAACACCUGCGGCGAAGGCGGCCUUCUGGACGAUGACUGACGCUGAGACGCGAAAGCGUGGGGAGCAAACAGG